UAACGUGGAAAAACAGAAGCAACUUGGAACUUAAAUGGCUAUUUCAAUCAUUUCUGAAUGGAAAAGGAGGAUUCUUAUGUUAUGAAUCAAGUUUUCAUUAAAAAAAAAAAACUUAAAUUCCACAAGGUAAUAAUAUCAUACAUUCUCCUUCCCCUCUGUAUGAACCAUGUACAAUGCUUAUGAGUCCGACUAGAAUCGUCCAGCCCCAUCUUUAGCCGUCUAGCCUCAUUUUAGCUUAGCAGAGUUCAUAAAAAAGCCUGACUAGAAUCAGAUGCAAAAGUUAUUGGACUCAAAAGGGAUCAUUGCAGUUGGCCACACAGCAGAAACAUAAGCAGGUGCUCUUCAAUGUAGUCCCUUUGGUGCCGAGACUGAUAUUUUCAUUUUUAUGUUAGAUGAUUUGUGCCCUACCAGUUUCUGUCUUAAAUAAAGAGUGAAAGAGAGACAGAAACUGAGGUGGGGUGCAUCUAGUAGCGCAUCAUACUUGCGAUAAUAUCCACAUUGGAUAGAAAAUCUAGUCAGACAUCGCAGUAGUUUUCCUUCAUAUAACACUAGAGAUUUCAAAUGUUUGCACAAUAAUCUUUUAAUCCGCUUGGGGUUGACUUCUUGUAAAUACAUGCCCCAUGGAAAGUUCUGCAGGAGCCGCGUGCUAAGCUUGAUUGCCACAAAAAAGAAGAAAGUUUGAGGACCCCUUAAAUCAUUUCUUACUCGUAGGAUUUUGUAAACCCACUCAAAUUUUGCGAAGAUUUAUCCUACAUUUAAUUAAUAUUUUACAGCUAAGGUUCAGGAGACAAUCUACAUCAUGUUGAAAGAUGAGUUCUAAGUAUUUUUGUCUCGACCGCUGAGGGUCUUAGCUUUUAGAUCAUGAGGCUUUAUACUCAACUGCUGACUAAUUAUAUUAGCUGGUGCUUUAUGAUGAGAAAAGAAAACACCAUGACCUAACGAUGCAACUUAACAAACAUAAUAAAUGAACAAACCAGUGAACAACGUAGUGUAGCCUUGAAGAAACCCCCUACUGGGAAGGGGGAGAAAUAUCAGUGCAACAAGGUUAGGCCUGGAAACCCCACUGGGGGCUUUUGUUCAUGCCAAUUGAGACCAAAUAAUAGGCGCUCCAGGUCAAACCCAAAGUCUAAAAGUCAGAGGGAAAGAAACCUGUGUGAUUACACAAGUUGGUUAAUGGCCAAAACAAUGCAAAAAAAUUUAUAUUUUUUUAUUUUUUGGGUGGUUCGAAUAGGAGGGGAGGGGGANN
rnacentral:lncRNA from 1 species